UACUAUCCACAGGGGGCACCUGUUGUACGUUAACACUAGAUUAUCACCGUCGCAACAAUCGCUUUAGUGGGAUAUGCUCUCUUUUCGGCAGAUAUUUUAAGCGUCUGGGUAACGUUUAUUGAGCGUCUGUCAUUUACACUAAAUAAGCGUCUGGAUGAUCUCGAACAUUGUUUUGAUGGCAAGUAUACCAAUAAGCUGAAAUAAUUCGCGUUCAGAAUAAAUCUGAGAGUCUGCCAAAUCAAAAAUCAUCAAAAGACUCUAAGGCGGCAAUUAAUAUUGACUAGUAUACCAAUUAACACUGUACUGUCAGAUGUCAUAACUAUGGUAACAUUAUAUAAGUAGACGUUUCUCGCGGUAUGUAAUACAGCGCAUAGGGACCGUUAAGUAAAAAUAUGAAAUUAUUCUCGGUUUGAGAAAUACGGUAUAGUAUGGUUUAAUACGUGUUAUUUAGAAGAGAGAUUAUGGUAAUGGUUUAGCGCGUAUAAUGCACGGGUUUUGUGUGCAUGUUUUAGCGCGAAAGCGCACGAGUUUUUCGUUUUGGGUUAUAUAUGAUUUGCACAUCUAGUGAGACGCCAUUCGAGGGUUGUUUUUGACAGGCAAAGUUAUGGAGCAAGAAAACGAAAGGGUGAUAAAGUAGUUUAGGCGUUCAUUUGCGAAAUACAUAGUAUUCGGAAGGAGAUUUUCGAUGAGAGGACUGAUUCUCUGCUAGAAGCGGAAUGGUGAGCUGGAACUUCGAACAAAGAAGCUGGACAGUUCGAAGAAUAAAUAAUGAAUAGUGUAACAUUAUAGUAAGAGGGCAGCUCGAAAGGUAUAAAAAAAAAUUGUUUUUUUUUGUGUAAUUAUGUGUUAGAAAAUAACUUGUUAAGAUUAAUAAUGAUGCUUUUAUUGAUGAUGAUGAUGUUAUAAAUGUUGAUGAUGAUGCUAACGUUAUUGAUGAGGAGGAGGAAUAGUUGACAGUAUUUUUGUGAAUGGAUAAUACUACAUUAACGAAUUUUGAGUGAAUGAAAUUAUUUUAGGUUUGAUAAAUACCGAAUGAUGUUGGUCUAUACAUAUUAUUUAGAAGAGAAAGUGAGUAUGGUUAUUGUUUAGCACGUAAAAAUGAACGAGUUUCUAGGUUUUGCGUUUAAUUGAACAAAAACAAGUAACGGUUCAGCAACAGGGAUUAUUCUCAGAUGGUACAUGUAUUCCUUUUAGAGUCACAGAAAUUCAACUUUGCAUCAAUACCGGUUUUCUUUGAGAUUUGUUUGAUGGGUUAAAAUUCCAAAAAUUUAUGAGUUUUGCAGCCGACCAAGUACCUAUAGCUUUGUAUUUGAGUGUGUUAAGCAUUUUGUUGUUUUCAAAUUAGUAAAUCAAAAUUAAUACGGUGUUCUAGUAUAUCAAUUGAGCUUAUGCUAUUGCCAUGGAAAUUUGAGCCAGGGUUCGAUCAGUAGCUUAAAGUAUGUCUGUGUUGGUGAAUUGAACCUAAAAACAAAUGUCAAGUCGGUAGUUUUAAUUUUAAGAGCAGAACAUACGUAUUGAUUGUGAGAACAUUAGUAAAAUGUGUUUGGUAUUUGUGCAUGUCUCUUGUGGUCAUUGGACCAAGUUGUUUAAGGCCAAUUGGCCUGAUUUUGAAAGCCAGUUGGCUUGUAUGGUCAGUUGACCGUUUUUAAAGCCAUUCUAUAUGGUGUGUGAAAGCCUGUUGGCUUGUGUUGUCAGGUUACCGAACAUUCUUGGAACGAAAGUCUCAUAGAAUUUACAAUAUUUGCAAGAUUAUUGUUUGCAAUGCAGUAACUGGACAGUUCGAAUAGUAUAUUAAGUAUUGAAGAACAUAAAGGUAUGGUUUAUGUAGUAUGUUAUUAUUAUUACUAGGAUUAUUAUGAUGUAUUUUAUUUGGGUGCAUUCGGAGAAUUGCAAAGCCGGUAGUUAAAAAAGAGCCUAUUACAUCAGAUAUAUUAAAGACAUUUUAUCACACUUUUGUUUCUGAGAGCGAUUGUUCUUUGGGGUAUUUAAGAGGCGUUACAAUCUUUUUCUUAUUUUAUGCUGUUUUUUUAGGAUAAGUGAAAUUUUGUCUGUUAAAAGAUCAGAUGUUGUAUUUUUAGAUACGCAUUGUGAUAUUAAAGUUGAAAAGUCAAAAACGGACAUUUUAAGAGAUGGUAAUACUGUUCUGAUUGCAAAAACUAAUACAGACACAUGACCUGUGAAAUUGUUUGAAAAGUAUUUGUGUGUUGCAGAUAUUGCAUGUUCAUAUACUGAUUAUGUGUUUAGACCAGUUUAUUAGUGUAAUGUUAAACACUGUUUCAAAUUGAUUUCUAAUAAUAAGCAUAUAAGUUAUUCUACUAUAAAUGAUAGUUUUAAGAAGAAGUUAAGUCUAUUGGGUUAUGUUUCUUCUAAAUAUGGACUUCAUUCUUUUCGUGCUGGUGGAGCAUCUAUAAGUGCCAAUAAUAAGACUGUGGAUAGACUUUGGCAAAGGCAUGGUAGAUGAAAAAGUGUUUCCACUAAGGACGGAUAUGUUAAAGAUUCUUUGAAAGACAGAUUAUCGGUGUCGCUAAAUUUAGAUUUGUGAAAAGUCAUUAUUAAUGUAUGUGUGAUUUGAAAUGUAUGAUGUGUUGUUCGUAGCACAUUUAAAGACACUAUAAUAUAUUAUUAUAUAAAUGGUUUGGAAAUGCUUUUGAGUAUUAUUAAGUUCUGUGUUUGUGUUGUGUGUAUGUUCCUUGUGGUCAUUGGACCAAUUUGUUUACGGCCAUUUGGCCUGAUUUGGUAAGCCAGUUGGCUUGUAUGGUCAGUUGACCGUUUUUUAAAGCAAGUUGAUCUGAUGUGUGAAAGCCGGUUGGCUUUUGUGAGUUGAACUUAUUUUCUUAAAAAGCAUGUUCACAUGGAAUUAACAAUCUUUGCAAGUUUAUUUUUUGCAGUGCAGUAACUGGACAGUACGAAUGGUAUAUUAAGUAUUGGGGAAUAUAAAGGUAUGGUUUAUGUAGUAUGUUAUUAUUAUUAUAAGGAUUAUGAUUAUGAUAUUUUUUAUUUCCGUUUUAAUGUUUAUCAUUAAUUUUGUAAAUAUUGUUUUAUUAUAUCUGUUUAAUUCUCUUGUGCAUUAUUCGAUUGGUCAUUUGACCGUUUGUGAAGGCCAGAGUGUGCCUGAUGUUGAUUCGCCGUUUGGCUUGUGUGGUCAUUUGACCGUUUGUGAAGGCCAGAGUGUGCCUGAUGUUGAUUAGCCGUUUGGCUUGUGUGGUCAUUUGACCGUUUGUGAAGGCCAGAGUGUGCCUGAUGUUGAUAAGCCAGUUGGCUUGUGUGGUCAGUUGACCGUUGUUGAAGGCCAUAGUGUGCCUAUUUUGAUUGAAUUAAUUUUAUUGCUUUUACAAAUGUUUGUAAUUGUAUCUUUUCAGUUAAAACACAGUUCGAGAGGUAUAUAACGUGGUGGAGAAUAUUUAGGUAUUCAUUUUAUGUUUUAUAUUAUUUGUAUUCUCUCUUUGUUUUAUUCGAAAGUCCUGUCAAAUACAAGCACUCACUCCUAUUUUGUCUUUGGUUUAUUAUUUGUUUGAUAAUGAUAAUGAUGAUGAUAUGGGUUAUAAAGAUGAUGAGAUUUUAAUAGUAUUUUGAGAAUAGAGAAUAAUAAAUUUACUCAUAACUAUGAGUAAAUGAAAUUAUUCUCGGUUUGAGAAAUACGGUAUAGUAUGGUUUAAUACGUGUUAUUUAGAAGAGAGAUUAUGGUAAUGGUUUAGCGCGUAUAAUGCACGGGUUUUGUGUGCAUGUUUUAGCGCGAAAGCGCACGAGUUUUUCGUUUUGGGUUAUAUAUGAUUUGCACAUCUAGUGAGACGCCAUUCGAGGGUUGUUUUUGACAGGCAAAGUUAUGGAGCAAGAAAACGAAAGGGUGAUAACCCCGCCCGCCCUCCCUUAAUGAACAUAUGUAUGGUUAAAUAAUUGGUUACAUUGCUUUUAUGUUUAUAAUUUUGCUAUUAUAAAGUCUAUAUUUAGUAUAUUUUCAGUUCGGUUUUUAGUCCAUGUGAGAUGGGAUCUUAACACGAACCGAUUUCUUUACUAGGAAAGACGAUGGGUGAAUUUUCAUUAAAGUCUGAAGCAGCUAAGUUUUCUUGAUUAUUUUGACUCAUUUGUUACUUAAUAUUGUGUUUGAAUGAGGUCUUUUAAGUUAUGGGUGUCAUGUUUUUCGAGACUCUCACUUCCUGGAGAUAGUACCUCCAGCAUACUUAUUGAAAUAUUGGUAUGUUUAAAUGUCAAGUGUUAUUAUUUUUUGUUGUAGUUCGUAAUGAACGUUUAAUUUUAAAGACAUUUUUAUUGUACGAUUACUUAAUAUUUUCAUUUUGGUGUGACUGGUUAGAUGUUGAAGUCGGUUUAAUAUAGCUGUUAAAUUCGUCAUAUGCAUUUAUAUAUUUCUCGGAAUAUUUAUGAUUUAUCAACAUUCUUUAUAGAUGCUUUAUGGAUUGAGUGAUUUGUUUGUUUCUUGCUGAUGUCCGGGGUGUGUGCAGGAUGCUUUUGAUGUUUGUUUGUUAUGUUAACUUGCGCAAUGAAUUGAUAAUGUUUUAAUUACAUUUUUUACUAUAAAAUACUUAAUGUUACAGUAUCUUAAUAGCUGCUUAUUUGUAGAUUUCUCUAAAUUAGAGGUUUCGGGAGGUGAUGAAGGCACCUAGACACCGGUCUCGAGCCAUGGGUCCUCAUACGUCCCCCUGCCAUUAAAAGAAAAAAUAAGAAAACAAAAAUGGCAGUAGGGUUGCGUAUCCCGCUCGCGGUUUUACCUGAAUCGUUUAUUACUACUGAGUAUUGUAUGGGGUGUACGUGAAGUCAUGUACACUUCUCUUGAUUGGUGGUGGUAGAUGAAUCUUGCAGAUAUUAGCAGCUUCUUUGAACAAAUUAAUGUUUUACAUUUGUUAAUUUAUAAUAUUUAAGCAAGUUAGCGUGAUUGAUGGGCAUUGGGGGCGUCCUGUGUGCACUGUGGGCAUCGGCGGGGAUCAGUUUAUUCAAACAGUAACUCUUUUUUGAGAUAUAUACUUGACGUCUAAUUGUUAUGAAUACAUUUGCACUUUUUCACAUGACACACAUGUGUAUGUGAAGUAUUCAUAAUUACAUGCCCUACAGCAUUUAAAUAGUAUCGUUUCAGUUCUUUAUACACCUGAACAAAGAUGUUACACCGUUUCCAGUCGUCUCGAGAUUCCUCAACUGAGCGGUGCCGUUGAGGUCUAUAUCCAUUGCGCAUACAACAUAUACGGGCUUCAGAAGAAUUGUUUUUUUGCAUUUAUUUGUUGAAAGUCCUGUCAAAUACAAGCACUCACUCCUA